UUGUGUGACCGCGUACUUUUUGUAGAACGGGCCAACGAGUUACGUUAAGUAGCAAGGGUAAGCACGUAAGGUGCGGGGCCGUAGGGAAAGCGAGUUUGAGCUGAGGGGUCAGUGACUUGACGGAGACCCGAAACCGGGCGACCUACCCAUGAGCAGGAGGAAGCGAAAGUAAAAUGGCGUGGAGGUGCGAACCAACGAGCGUGGAAAAGCUCGGGGAUGACUUGUGGGUAGCGGUGAAAUUCCAAUCGAGCCCGGAGAUAGCUGGUUCUCCCCGAAAUAGCUUUAGGGCUAGCCUCAAGGUGAGAGAUACGGAGGUAGAGCACUGAAUGUCCUAGGGGGUAUUGCACCUACCGAAGACUA
rnacentral:rRNA from 1 species